rnacentral:hammerhead_ribozyme from 1 species
AUCUAGCUGACGAGUCCUAAAUAGGACGAAUGCGUAUCUUAAAU